rnacentral:lncRNA from 1 species
AUAUAUAUAUAUAUAAAAGAAUACAAACUUUAUACGCUAUAAAAAGAUUAAAUCAUAUUUUUAUCUUUUACUUGUAAAGUGAAAAAUAUAUGGCAGAAAUUCUCAAAUUAUUUUAUAUUUGGAUUCUUUAUGUUUCGUUAUUUCUUUUCACAUCACAUGUUGUUGGUAAACCAUUUUUUCUAUUUCUUGUUAAAUUUCUUCUAUGCUUUGAAGUUUAUACACACUUUUUAUCACGUGUUUGUAACAUUAUUUCAUAAUCUCUUUUCAUUGCAGGAAAACUUAUUAAAUUUCCAAUAUUGAAAUGUAAAACUGUUGCCGAUUGUCCAAAAUUUAUUACCAAAUGGGUAGCUAUUAUGUGCGUUGAUCAGUGUUGUGCGAUUGUAUACUAGGAGGAUACAAAAAUGCUUCAUUGAGGAGUAUGAGUUAUAAUAUUUAAAAGAUAAGCAUUUAGUAUAUUAUGAUAGAACAUAUUCUAUAAAAUAAAUUUGAUUUAUUGUAUGGGAAUUUUUUAAUUUUUUUAAUUUAUGAAUCUUGUAUUUAUGAUUUCGUACUCUAAAAUGAGGGUAAGAAAAUAUUAUUGUAAUUUUCUUAUUCUCUCUAAAAAUUUAAGUUAUCAAUAUGACAUGUAUCGAAUUCAUGCAUAUCACCAUAUUUCUAACUCCA